ACGGGAGGCAGCAGUGGGGGAUAUUGGACAAUGGGGGAAACCCUGAUCCAGCGACGCCGCGUGAGUGAAGAAGUAUUUCGGUAUGUAAAGCUCUAUCAGCAGGGAAGAAAAAGCGCAAGCAUUGACUGUACCUGACUAAGAAGCCCCGGCUAACUACGUGCCAGCAGCCGCGGUAAUACGUAGGGGGCAAGCGUUAUCCGGAUUUACUGGGUGUAAAGGGAGCGUAGGCGGUACGGCAAGUCAGAUGUGAAAGCCCGGGGCUCAACCUCGGGACUGCAUUUGAAACUGUCGAACUAGAGUAUCGGAGAGGUGAGUGGAAUUCCAAGUGUAGCGGUGAAAUGCGUAGAUAUUUGGAAGAACACCGGUGGCGAAGGCGGCUCACUGGACGAUAACUGACGCUGAGGCUCGAAAGCGUGGGGAGCAAACAGGAUUAGAUACCCUGGUA
rnacentral:rRNA from 2 species